rnacentral:tRNA from 1 species
AGUGCCGUGGAGCAGAGGUCAGCUCGCCGGGUUCAUUACCCGGAGGUCGCAGGUUCAAAUCCUGCCGGCGCAACCA